CGCUUAGUUUAAUAAUUGGCCCAUUAGCUCAGUUGGUUAGAGCGUCGUGCUAAUAACGCGAAGGUCGCAGGUUCGAGACCUGCAUGGGCCAA